UACAGAGGGUGCGAGCGUUAAUCGGAAUUACUGGGCGUAAAGCGCGCGUAGGCGGCUUUGCAAGUCGAUUGUGAAAUCCCCAGGCUUAACCUGGGAACUGCAUUCGAGACUGCAUAGCUAGAGUAUGGGAGAGGGAAGUGGAAUUUCAGGUGUAGCGGUGAAAUGCGUAGAUAUCUGAAGGAACAUCAGUGGCGAAAGCGACUUCCUGGACCAAUACUGACGCUCAUGUGCGAAAGCGUGGGGGAGCAAACAGG
rnacentral:rRNA from 1 species